rnacentral:rRNA from 1 species
UGAGGAACAUGACCUUCGGCGGGGGAUAGCCGGCCCAACGGCCGGGUAAUACCGCGUACGACCACAUGGGGACAUCCCUGAGUGGUGAAAGCAGCAAUGCGCCGAUGGAGUGCCUCGCGGCCUAUCAGCUAGUUGGUGAGGUAAUGGCUCACCAAGGCGACGACGGGUAGCUGGUCUGAGAGGAUGGCCAGCCACAUUGGGACUGAGACACGGCCCAGAUCCCGUACGGGG